AAACUAACAAGGUUCCCCUAAGUAGCGGCGAGCGAAGCGGGAAGAGCUCAAAUUUAUAAUCUGGCACCUUCGGUGUCCGAGUUGUAAUCUCUAGAAGUGUUUUCCGCGUUGGACCGCACACAAGUCUGUUGGAAUACAGCGGCAUAGUGGUGAAACCCCCGUAUAUGGUGCGGACGCCCAGCGCUUUGUGAUACACUUUCAAUGAGUCGAGUUGUUUGGGAAUGCAGCUCAAAUUGGGUGGUAAAUUCCAUCUAAAGCUAAAUAUUGGCGAGAGACCGAUAGCGAACAAGUACCGUGAGGGAAAGAUGAAAAGCACUUUUGGAAAGAGAGUUAACAGUACGUGAAAUUGUUGGAAGGGAAACGCUUGAAGUCAGACUUGCUUGCCGGAGCUUGCUUCGGUUUGCAGGGCCAGCAUCAGUUUUCCGGGGUGGAUAAUGACGGUUUGAAGGUAGCAGUCUCGGGCUGUGUUAUAGCUUUCCGUUGGAUACAUCCUGGGGGACUGAGGAACGCAGCGUGCUUUUUGCGAAAGACUCGUCUUUUUCACGCUUAGAUGCUGGUGGAAUGGCUUUAAACGACCCGUCUUGAAACACGGACAAGGAGUCUAACAUGCUCGCGAGUAUUUGGGUGUCAAACCGGGAUGC
rnacentral:rRNA from 1 species